GACGAACGCUGGCGGCGUGCUUAACACAUGCAAGUCGAACGGAAAGGCCCUGCUUUUGUGGGGUGCUCGAGUGGCGAACGGGUGAGUAACACGUGAGUAACCUGCCCUUGACUUUGGGAUAACUUCAGGAAACUGGGGCUAAUACCGGAUAGGAGCUCCUGCUGCAUGGUGGGGGUUGGAAAGUUUCGGCGGUUGGGGAUGGACUCGCGGCUUAUCAGCUUGUUGGUGGGGUAGUGGCUUACCAAGGCUUUGACGGGUAGCCGGCCUGAGAGGGUGACCGGCCACAUUGGGACUGAGAUACGGCACAGACUACUACGGGAGGCGGCGGAGGGGAAUAUAGCACAAUGGGCGGAAGCCUGAUGCAGCAACGCAGCGUGCGGGAUGACGGCAUUCGGGUUGUGAACCGCUUUCGCCUGUGACGAGGCGUGAGUGACGGUAAUGGGUAAAGAAGCACCGGCUAACUACGUG
rnacentral:rRNA from 1 species